rnacentral:rRNA from 1 species
GACGAACGCUGGCGGCGUGCCUAAUACAUGCAAGUCGAACGCAUUUUCUUUCACCGUAGCUUGCUACACCGAAAGAAAAUGAGUGGCGAACGGGUGAGUAACACGUGGGUAACCUGCCCAUCAGCGGGGGAUAACACUUGGAAACAGGUGCUAAUACCGCAUAAUUCCAUUUACCGCAUGGUAGAUGGAUGAAAGGCGCUUUUGCGUCACUGAUGGAUGGACCCGCGGUGCAUUAGCUAGUUGGUGGGGUAACGGCCUACCAAGGCUGCGAUGCAUAGCCGACCUGGGAGGGUGAUCGGCCACACUGGGACUGAGACACGGCCCAGACUCCUACGGGAGGCAGCAGUAGGGAAUCUUCGGCAAUGGACGCAAGUCUGACCGAGCAACGCCGCGGGAGUGAAGAAGGGUUUCGGAUCGUAAAACUCUGUUGUUAGGGAAGAACAAGGAUGAGAGUGGAAAGUUCAUCCCUUGACGGUAUCUAGACAGAAAGCCACGGCUAACUACGUG